GCGGUGUUAUAUAUUUGAAAACCAUGUCGGUGCCUUUUACAACUAACUAUACGGUAUUGGUGAUUCUUAUAGUUGAAUGACGCUCUCUGGUUGUUAAUUGCUUAACUCCACUUCAUUUGAACUUUAAUUGUUAGUUGUCUCAUGUUCAAUCAUACCACUUCUUUUUAUUUUUAUAGUUUAUUAGAUGAUACCUUGUUUUAUAUUUAAUCAUAAU
rnacentral:lncRNA from 1 species